AUUGAACGCUGGCGGCAUGCCUAACACAUGCAAGUCGAACGAGUGGCGGACGGGUGAGUAAUGUCUGGGAAACUGCCUGAUGGAGGGGGAUAACUACUGGAACCGGUAGUUAAUACCGCAUACCAUCGGAUGUGCCCAGAUGGGAUUAGCUAGUAGGUGGGGUAAAGGCUCACCAAGGCGACGAUCCCUAGCUGGUCUGAGAGGAGGAACGGCCACACUGGAACUGAGACACGGUCCAGACUCCUACGGGAGGCAGCAGUAGGGAAUAUUGCGCAAUGGGCGCAAGCCUGAUGCAGCCAUGCCGCGUGUAUGAAGAAGGCCUUCGGGUUGUAAAGUACUUUCAGCAGGGAGGCGUUACCCGCAGAAGAAGCACCGGCUAACUCCGUGCCAGCAGCCGCGGUAAUUC
rnacentral:rRNA from 1 species